UUAAGUUAGAAAGGGCGCACGGUGGAUGCCUUGAAACUAGGAGUCGAUGAAUGACGGGACUAACGCCGAUAUGCUUCGGGGAGCUGUAAGUAAUGUUUAAUCCGAAGAUUUCCGAAUGGGGAAACCCUAAAUACGUAAUGGUAUGGUAUCCUUAUCUGAAUACAUAGGGUAAGGAAGACAGACCCAGGGAACUGAAACAUCUAAGUACCUGGAGGAAGAGAAAGCAAAUGCGAUUUCCUGAGUAGCGGCGAGCGAAACGGAACAUAGCCCAAACCAAGAGGCUUGCCUCUUGGGGUUGUAGGACAUUCUAUACGGAGUUACAAAGGAACGAGGUAGACGAAGCGACCUGGAAAGGUCCGUCGUAGAGGGUAACAACCCCGUAGUCGAAACUUCGUUCUCUCUUGAAUGUAUCCUGAGUACGGCGGAACACGUGAAAUUCCGUCGGAAUCUGGGAGGACCAUCUCCCAAGGCUAAAUACUCCCUAGUGAUCGAUAGUGAACCAGUACCGUGAGGGAAAGGUGAAAAGCACCCCGGAAGGGGAGUGAAAGAGAUCCUGAAACCGUGUGCCUACAAAUAGUCAGAGCCCGUUAACGGGUGAUGGCGUGCCUUUUGUAGAAUGAACCGGCGAGUUACGAUCCCGUGCGAGGUUAAGCUGAAGAGGCGGAGCCGCAGCGAAAGCGAGUCUGAAUAGGGCGUUUAGUACGUGGUCGUAGACCCGAAACCAGGUGAUCUACCCAUGUCCAGGGUGAAGUUCAGGUAACACUGAAUGGAGGCCCGAACCCACGCACGUUGAAAAGUGCGGGGAUGAGGUGUGGGUAGCGGAGAAAUUCCAAUCGAACCUGGAGAUAGCUGGUUCUCCCCGAAAUAGCUUUAGGGCUAGCCUUAAGUGUAAGAGUCUUGGAGGUAGAGCACUGAUUGGACUAGGGGUCCUCAUCGGAUUACCGAAUUCAGUCAAACUCCGAAUGCCAAUGACUUAUCCUUAGGAGUCAGACUGCGAGUGAUAAGAUCCGUAGUCAAAAGGGAAACAGCCCAGACCGCCAGCUAAGGUCCCAAAGUGUGUAUUAAGUGGAAAAGGAUGUGGAGUUGCUUAGACAACUAGGAUGUUGGCUUAGAAGCAGCCACCAUUUAAAGAGUGCGUAAUAGCUCACUAGUCGAGUGACUCUGCGCCGAAAAUGUACCGGGGCUAAAUACACCACCGAAGCUGCGGAUUGAUACCGAAUGGUAUCAGUGGUAGGGGAGCGUUCUAAGGACAGUGAAGUCAGACCGUAAGGACUGGUGGAGUGCUUAGAAGUGAGAAUGCCGGUAUGAGUAGCGAAAGACGGGUGAGAAUCCCGUCCACCGAAUGCCUAAGGUUUCCUGAGGAAGGCUCGUCCGCUCAGGGUUAGUCAGGACCUAAGCCGAGGCCGACAGGCGUAGGCGAUGGACAACAGGUUGAUAUUCCUGUACCACCUCUUUAUCGUUUGAGCAAUGGAGGGACGCAGAAGGAUAGAAGAAGCGUGCGAUUGGUUGUGCACGUCCAAGCAGUUAGGCUGAUAAGUAGGCAAAUCCGCUUAUCGUGAAGGCUGAGCUGUGAUGGGGAAGCUCCUUAUGGAGCGAAGUCUUUGAUUCCCCGCUGCCAAGAAAAGCUUCUAGCGAGAUAAAAGGUGCCUGUACCGCAAACCGACACAGGUAGGCGAGGAGAGAAUCCUAAGGUGUGCGAGAGAACUCUGGUUAAGGAACUCGGCAAAAUGACCCCGUAACUUCGGGAGAAGGGGUGCUUUCUUAACGGAAAGCCGCAGUGAAUAGGCCCAAGCGACUGUUUAGCAAAAACACAGCUCUCUGCGAAGCCGUAAGGCGAAGUAUAGGGGGUGACACCUGCCCGGUGCUGGAAGGUUAAGGAGAGGGGUUAGCGUAAGCGAAGCUCUGAACUGAAGCCCCAGUAAACGGCGGCCGUAACUAUAACGGUCCUAAGGUAGCGAAAUUCCUUGUCGGGUAAGUUCCGACCCGCACGAAAGGUGUAACGAUUUGGGCACUGUCUCAACCAGAGACUCGGUGAAAUUAUAGUACCUGUGAAGAUGCAGGUUACCCGCGACAGGACGGAAAGACCCCGUGGAGCUUUACUGUAGCCUGAUAUUGAAUUUUGGUACAGUUUGUACAGGAUAGGCGGGAGCCAUUGAAACCGGAGCGCUAGCUUCGGUGGAGGCGCUGGUGGGAUACCGCCCUGACUGUAUUGAAAUUCUAACCUACGGGUCUUAUCGACCCGGGAGACAGUGUCAGGUGGGCAGUUUGACUGGGGCGGUCGCCUCCUAAAGUGUAACGGAGGCGCCCAAAGGUUCCCUCAGAAUGGUUGGAAAUCAUUCGUAGAGUGCAAAGGCAUAAGGGAGCUUGACUGCGAGACCUACAAGUCGAGCAGGGACGAAAGUCGGGCUUAGUGAUCCGGUGGUUCCGCAUGGAAGGGCCAUCGCUCAACGGAUAAAAGCUACCCCGGGGAUAACAGGCUUAUCUCCCCCAAGAGUCCACAUCGACGGGGAGGUUUGGCACCUCGAUGUCGGCUCAUCGCAUCCUGGGGCUGUAGUCGGUCCCAAGGGUUGGGCUGUUCGCCCAUUAAAGCGGUACGCGAGCUGGGUUCAGAACGUCGUGAGACAGUUCGGUCCCUAUCCGUCGUGGGCGUAGGAAAUUUGAGAGGAGCUGUCCUUAGUACGAGAGGACCGGGAUGGACGCACCGCUGGUGUACCAGUUGUUCUGCCAAGGGCAUAGCUGGGUAGCUAUGUGCGGAAGGGAUAAGUGCUGAAAGCAUCUAAGCAUGAAGCCCCCCUCAAGAUGAGAUUUCCCAUAGCGUAAGCUAGUAAGAUUCCUGAAAGAUGAUCAGGUUGAUAGGUUCGAGGUGGAAGCAUGGUGACAUGUGGAGCUGACGAAUACUAAUAGAUCGAGGACUUAACCAU
rnacentral:rRNA from 1 species